rnacentral:rRNA from 1 species
UACGGAGGGUGCAAGCGUUAAUCGGAAUUACUGGGCGUAAAGGGUUCGUAGGCGGAUAGACAAGUCAGAUGUAAAAGACCAGGGCUCAACCUUGGAUGGUCAUUUGAAACUAUCUAUCUAGAAUUCAGUAGAGGAGAGGAGAAUUUCUGGUGUAGCGGUGAAAUGCGUAGAGAUCAGAAGGAAUACCAAUUGCGAAGGCAACUCUCUGGGCUUGAAUUGACGCUGAGGGACGAAAGCGUGGGUAGCAAACAGG